rnacentral:tRNA from 1 species
GCAAGUAUAGUUUAACCCAAACAUUAGAUUGUGAUUCUAAAAAUAGGAGUUCAAAUCCCCUUACUCGCC